GAUGAACGCUGGCGGCGCGCCUAACACAUGCAAGUCGAACGAUUAAAGCACCUUCGGGUGUGUAUAAAGUGGCGAACGGCUGAGUAACACGUGGGCAACCUGCCCCUCUCAUUGGGAUAGCCACGGGAAACCGUGGAUAAUACCGAAUACUUCGGGACUUCCGCAUGGAAGACUCGAGAAAGCUCCGGCGGAGAGGGAUGGGCCCGCGGCCUGUUAGCUUGUUGGUGGGGUAAUGGCCUACCAAGGCAAUGAUGGGUAGCUGGGUUGAGAGACCGACCAGCCAGAUGGGGACUGAGACACGGCCCAGACUCCUACGGGAGGCAGCAGUGGGGAAUCUUGCACAAUGGGCGAAAGCCUGAGGCAGCGACGCCGCGUGCGGGAUGAAGGCCUUCGGGUUGUAAACCGCUUUCAGCAGGGACGAGGCGAAAGUGACGGUACCUGCAGAAGAAGCCCCGGCGAACUACGU
rnacentral:rRNA from 1 species